GCCUGAGGGGUGUAACGGUAGCACACUCGACGCGUAUUCGAGAGAUCCAGGGUUCGAGUCCCAACGAGGGCA
rnacentral:tRNA from 1 species